AAGUUAGAGAUUUGGUCAUUGAAUAUGAGCAAAAAACCUGUGAAACAAAUUUGGGAGAAACUGUUUUUUGUGAAUAUUACAUUACACCAAAUGAAUAUGUUGCUUUUUUGAAUAGAGUCUUUAAAGUUAAAAAUCGUUCUUAAUGUUUUGUUUGAAUUAUAGUAAUUAUACUUUUUAUUAUUAUUUAAAUAUAAAUUAAAUUUUUGAUUUUCCUUAAUUGAUUAUCAGCUCCGGUGACAGGGGCCAUUGGCUUUAUUAUAUUAUAUUUAUUUGUAAUUGCAAUGAUAAAAGCAAAAAAUAAAAUUAAUUUAUAAUUUAA